GGAAGCGAAUGGGGGCUGGUGUCCCCCCCGGUCUUCAAAACCGGUGGGCCUAUACGGGGGUAUAGGUCGGUGGGUUCGAUUCCCACGCGCUUCC
rnacentral:tRNA from 1 species